CCCUGCCAUUUGUACACACCGCCCGUCGCACCUACCGAUUGAAUGGUCCGGUGAAAUCCUGGGAUCUUCCGUGAUGGCGUUCAUUCGUUGUUGUGGAGGAGAACUAGAGUGAACCUUAUCAUUUAGAGGAAGGU
rnacentral:rRNA from 1 species